rnacentral:rRNA from 1 species
GAUGAACGCUGGCGGCGUGCCUAAUACAUGCAAGUCGAGCGAAUGGAUUAAGAGCUUGCUCUUAUGAAGUUAGCGGCGGACGGGUGAGUAACACGUGGGUAACCUGCCCAUAAGACUGGGAUAACUCCGGGAAACCGGGGCUAAUACCGGAUAACAUUUUGAACCGCAUGGUUCGAAAUUGACAGGCGGCUUCGGCUGUCACUUAUGGAUGGACCCGCGUCGCAUUAGCUAGUUGGUGAGGUACGGCUAACGAAGGCAACGAUGCGUAGCCGACCUGAGAGGGUGAUCGGCCACACUGGGACUGAGACACGGCCCAGACUCCUACGGGAGGCAGCAGUAGGGAAUCUUCCGCAAUGGACGAAAGUCUGACGGAGCAACGCCGCGUGAGUGAUGAAGGCUUUCGGGUCGUAAAACUCUGUUGUUAGGGAAGAACAAGUGCUAGUUGAAUAAGCUGGCACCUUGACGGUACCUAACCAGAAAGCCACGGCUAACUACGUGCCAGCCGCCGCAGUAA